rnacentral:rRNA from 1 species
GAAAGUAAUAAAGGGCGUAUGGGGGAUGCCUAGGCUCUUGGAGGCGAAGAAAGACGUGGUAAGCUGCGAUAAGCCUCGGGGAUUUGCAAACGAGAAUUGAUCCGAGGAUUUCUGAAUGGGACAACCCGGCAGGCAGAAGGCCUGUCACACGAAAGUGGGCCAACCCUCUGAACUGAAACAUCUUAGUAGGAGGAGGAAAAGAAAGAAACAUCGAUUUCCUAAGUAGCGGCGAGCGAACGGGAAACAGCCUAAACCACAAUUGUUACGGCAACUGUGGGGUUGUAGGACUGCAAUAUUCAAAUGACUGUGAACUGGAAUGUUCUGGAAAGUUCAUCCAUAGAGAGUGAAAGACUCGUACAGGCAAGCACGUCAGGCGAUAGCAGUAUCCUGAGUAGGGCGGGACACGAGGAAUCCUGUCUGAAUCCGCCGGGACCACCCGGUAAGGCUAAAUACUCCCAAGAGACCGAUAGUGAACCAGUACCGUGAGGGAAAGGUGAAAAGAACCCCGAACAGGGGAGUGAAAUAGAACCUGAAACCAUACGCUUACAACCUGUCGGAGCGGCUUCGUGCCGUGACGGCGUGCCUAUUGAAUAAUGAGCCUACGAGUUACUAAUCACUGGCAAGGUUAAGUGCACGGAUGCACGGAGCCGAAGCGAAAGCGAGUCUGAACAGGGCGUUUAGUCAGUGGUUGUAGACGCGAAACCUUGCGAUCUACCCUUGAGCAGGUUGAAGGUUGGGUAAAACCAACUGGAGGACCGAACGAAUAAGCGUUGAAAAGCUUCUCGAUGACUUGAGGGUAGGGGUGAAAGGCUAAUCAAGCUGGGAAAUAGCUCGUACUCCCCGAAAUGCCUUUAGGGGCAGCGUUGUAAUUGAGAGUCUACUGGAGGUAGAGCUACUGAUUGGAUGCGGGGGCUUCACCGCCUACCAAAUCCUGACAAACUCCGAAUGCCAGUAGUAUGAUUUACAGCAGUGAGUGACUGGGUGCUAAUGUCCAGUCGCAAAAGAGGAACAACUCAGACCAGCAACUAAGGUCCCGAAGAAUAUGCUAAGUUGAUCUAACGAUGUUUUGUUGCAGAGACAGCUAGGAUGUUAGCUUGGAAGCAGCUAUUCAUUCAAAGAGUGCGUAACAGCUCACUAGUCGAGCGACAGAGCGUGGAUAAUAAACGGGCAUCAAGCAUAUCACCGAAGUUCUGGGCGCGAGAGCGCGGUAGGGGAGCAUUCCAUUCAGCGUCGAAGCAGUUUCGUGAGGAAUUGUGGAGCGUAUGGAAAAGCAAAUGUAGGCAUGAGUAACGAUAAUGCGGGAGAGUAACCCGCACACCGCAAGACCAAGGUUUCCUGAUCAACGCUAAUCGGAUCAGGGUUAGUCGGGUCCUAAGGGUAAGCCGAACGGCGAUCUCGAUGGAUAAUCGGUUAAUAUUCCGAUACUAACAUAUACCUCGAUGGAGAGACGAAGGAACGUAAGUGCCGCCACCUGACGGAAUAGGUGGUUAAAGGGCGUAGGUAUAGGGGCAGAUUAAGAGUUAGUCCUUGCUGAAACCUGACAGUACAGAGAGCCUACGGGCAAUUUGAUAGAGCACCCAAGUCGACUUCCGAGAAAAUCUUCUAAGUUAUAGUAUAUGUUACCCGUACCGUAAACCGACACAGGUGGUCGAGGAGAGUAUCCUAAGGUGCUCGAGUGAAUCACGGUUAAGGAACUAGGCAAAUUAACCCCGUAACUUCGGGAAAAGGGGUCCCUAUGAAAGUAGGGCGCAGCGAAGAGGUCCAGGCGACUGUUUAUCAAAAACACAGGGCUCUGCAAAUUCGAAAGAAGACGUAUAGGGCCUGACACCUGCCCGGUGCUGGAAGGUUAAGAGGGGAUGUCAUCGCAAGAGAAGCAUUGAAUCGAAGCCCCAGUAAACGGCGGCCGUAACUAUAACGGUCCUAAGGUAGCGAAAUUCCUUGUCGGGUAAGUUCCGACCUG